rnacentral:rRNA from 1 species
UACGUAGGGGCCAAGCGUUGUCCGGAUUUAUUGGGCGUAAAGGGUGCGCAGGCGGUUCUGCAAGUCAGGCGUGAAAUCCCCGGGCUUAACCUGGGAAUGGCGCUUGAAACUACGGGACUGGAGUAUGGCAGAGGGAGGUGGAAUUCCACGUGUAGCGGUGAAAUGCGUAGAGAUGUGGAGGAACACCGAUGGCGAAGGCAGCCUCCUGGGCCAAUACUGACGCUCAUGCACGAAAGCGUGGGGAGCAAACAGG